AUUAUUGGUUAACGCACACAGCUUGUCACUUGGAACUUACAAAAAAAUGCUAUUUUUCUCAAGUUUUGUAUUUUCAUGGCAUGGAUCACUAAACUGAAGCCCACUGCCUGCUGAUAUUUGUAGUUCAAUUGCACAGCAUCUUGUCUGAGAAGAGCAUCAAUUCAAGAAAAUGAACUUUGAAGAUGAAGAUUUUGAUUUUGCUGAGGGUUUCCUGGACGAGGUCCUGCCUCCAAGUCGGAUGCCAUCUCACCCCUCCC